CCCUCCCGGGAUAAAUCCUUCUCUUACUAUUUCGUUUCACAUUAUUUUCUCUUUCGUCCAAUAUUCCAUCAUGUUUCUAUUGUUAUUAUUAGAAAAUACAUUCAAAAUAAGAAAGGCGAUCCAUUGAGCAUGGUCUCUCUCCGCAAGGAGAAGAAUGGCCACAUGUCAAGCUCUCAAAAAAAGUGUUGUAAGAUCUAAAGCUCUGCUCUUUUCAUGAGACCUUGAUACAUGGGUGAGCGACCUAUCCACCAAAUUAGAUAUAUAUUUACGAACAGAACUCUACUUGCUUAUUUUUAACUAUUUAACUCUACUUGCCCAUUAUAAGUAUUUAAAAUAAUAUUAUUCAAUAAGGAGCCCUAUUUUCAAUCUGUGAUGUAAUGCAAUUUUGCGGUGAAUUUAGAAUCUUUUGCAUCUCUUGCAGAGGUUCUUUUCUUGUUACAGUAGGUGAUCAUUUUUUAUCUUAAAAAAAAAAGUGGUCAUUUUUUAACUUAAUAAUUAUUAUUUUAUUGAAUUAUGUGAUAUUAUUAUAUUAUUAGGAAUGACAUUAUGUUAUAGAUAAGCAUUGGGUUUUUUUUAAAUUAAUUUAUCAACUUUACUGAUUAUUUUAUUUGUUUUCUUUUUCCACAGACAUAAUUAAGGCACUUCAAUGAUACUCAACUUGUUCAGGCCAAGGGGUUGAGCAAGAAAUCUUGAUUUCAUGAUGAUAAUGCUUAUUUACCGGAAGUUGUGAGACAUGAUCGGAAGCCCAAGUUAGGCUAAGAAUUUGAAUCACUAGAUGAUGUGCUUGAACUUUUCAACAGUUGCAAAGGAUGCUUGAUUUAAUAUUAGAAUUUAUUCCAGUAAACAAGAUUAAAAUACAAAAGAAAUUGUAGAGGAGGAGUAUGUGUGGUUCAAAGAAGGAACAUCAUCCAAAAGAGAUAUUUAUGCAUCAUCAUCAUCAUAAUAAUAAUAAG
rnacentral:lncRNA from 1 species